rfam:Sus scrofa chromosome 6.
UUCAGCUUUGCUGUGAGCAUAAAAUAAAACUGCACCCCAAAAUAAUUUUAUUAUUUUUUACAAAGGAGGGGGAAAGGAAUUGAGCAUUCUUUACUCUGAGGAAAGGUAAAAUGACAAGGAAUAGCAGACUAAACUCCUUUCGGGAGUUGAAAGAAAUCAGAC